AGGUAGGAAUUCUAAUCUCCUACAAUUCCAUAGAGAAACUGAUGUCAACGAAGUGGGUAGGCCAUCUUUGGGGAACGCCGAUAGGGUUGGACAAUUCCAAACACACAAACGUUGAAGACGAUUGGUGUUGGGCAAGCACGGUAUGUCAUCAAAAUUUCCGACGUCAAGUACGGACAAUAACUUUGCCUCUUGUAAUGACACAUCUGUUUGGCAUCCAUAAUCUAAUUUAAUUUUCAAUUCUUGAAGAGAUUUGUAGGAGUUCAUGUUAAGACUGGUACCAGUAGUAGAAGUGGCCCUUUGAUCAUGUAACACCGCACACCCAUACACG
rnacentral:lncRNA from 1 species